AAACACAAACGCCUCCAGCUUCAGGCUCAGGGUCUGGAGGAAAGUUCUGCUCUUCCUCUGGUUCUACCACGAUCUCACGUGGGUAUAAUGCAAAGUGUAAAAGGCCACUAAAACACAUACCGCAUGUAAUCGUGAAGUAAAGAGAAAAAGAGGCCAACUAAUUACAGACCAGCACACACUCACAUAUGUGCACAUCUACACUCCUGUUCUUCCUUUCAUGGGCACCUUUCGCUGGAUCCCCGGUCCGAGACGGGUGAGGUGACUCAGACCUUCACGGUGGCAGAUCUGAUCCUGCGGUCAUGUCGUCCUUCUAGAUGGACCAAGGUAUUUCUUCCACUAGGCCCUCCAGGCACACAACGCUUUGAGCCUACAACCCCUCCAAGCGUCUUUGGACGUGAUUGAGAUUCGAAAGGAAUAUUGGUCACAAAAAGAGACAGAGGCGGCGGGACCUCAAAUGAAUGAUGAUGCCAAAAGCGACAUGGUGAAACGCUCUUCAGAAACGUAAUAGUGUGGCUGUCACUAGCCAUAUGACACCACCAGCAGGUCUGAGCUGUCAUCGGACAUGGGGAUGGCAUUGUCAGGAAAAGUGUGGAUGACCUGACUUACGACCCUACCACAGUGUCUCCGCGCCCCUGAUUCUCCACGUCCUUGAAGACACUCGGUCCCAUCAGACCUCUUCAUCUUUGCACAUCUGGGCACUGGACCAGGACGGGAAGCAUCAGGAGGCCUGAGAAUGAAAGUCAUGAACUUUCCUGCUUCCCUGGGUACGAUGGAGGCUUGGAGUCCAAUUUGAUUGAGGAGGAAGAGCGAGACGGAUGCUCCACUGCACCUGCGUGUGUGGGCUCACGGACCCAUUCCUGGGGACCACCAGGGGGAGGCGGAAAAACGCUGAGUUGAAUUUUUGGCACGCGGCCCAGCCAGGCUUUCUUAUGUAACAAUCGCCUGAGCUAGUUAGUAUGAGAACUUUUGAAAUAAAAGCUAAGAGUGGCCAAAACAAAUAUGUGGCCAGAUUAAAGCCAGCUUGGCCAAUGUUUCUCUAACAUUCCUGCUUUAUAAACAUAGAAAACAGUAAGAAAAGAGAAGGUUGUG